GAUGAACGCUGGCGGCGUGCUUAACACAUGCAAGUCGAACGGAAAGGCCCAAGCUUGCUUGGGUACUCGAGUGGCGAAAGGGUGAGUAACACGUGGGUGAUCUGCCCUGCACUUCGGGAUAAGCCUGGGAAACUGGGUCUAAUACCGGAUAGGACGAUGGUUUGGAUGCCAUUGUGGAAAGUUUUUUCGGUGUGGGAUGAGCUCGCGGCCUAUCAGCUUGUUGGUGGGGUAAUGGCCUACCAAGGCGUCGACGGGUAGCCGGCCUGAGAGGGUGUACGGCCACAUUGGGACUGAGAUACGGCCCAGACUCCUACGGGAGGCAGCAGUGGGGAAUAUUGCACAAUGGGCGCAAGCCUGAUGCAGCGACGCCGCGUGGGGGAUGACGGCCUUCGGGUUGUAAACUCCUUUCGCUAGGGACGAAGCGUUUUUGUGACGGUACCUGGAGAAGAAGCACCGGCUAACUACGUG
rnacentral:rRNA from 1 species